ACAAAGGGAGGAAAGUCCGGGCUCCUUAGGGCAGGGUGCCAGGUAACGCCUGGGAGGUGAAAGCCUACGGAAAGUGCCACAGAAAAUAUACCGCCUAUAAUUUUCAGUUACUGAAAAUAAGGUAAGGGUGAAAUGGUGCGGUAAGAGCGCACCGCGCGAUUGGCAACAGUCGUGGCAGGGAAAACCCCACCUGGAGCAAGACCAAAUAGGAAUCCUACUUACCUUUGUGGUAAGACGUAUGGCCCAUACGGGAUUCGGGUAGGUUGCUUGAGACAUGCGGUGACGCAUGCCCUAGAUGAAUGAUUGUCCACG
rnacentral:RNase_P_RNA from 1 species